rnacentral:lncRNA from 1 species
AUCCAACUGCUACAUUGUUAUGUUCAGGGUUAUUUUUAAAUGAAAACUGAAUAUUAAGAAAUCCAGAUUUUAAUUGGGAUGCAGCCUCUGACUUCCCGACACAAUAACCUAAACUAAAAACCCAGCACCAGAUGCUUCCAAUAUUCAGGAAAUUUCUAAUAAAGACUGGAAUUUUCCAGCAUAAAAUUUUGUAAUAGAUUUUUUUUUUUUUUUUAAAAAAGGGGUAUGCAUGAAGAAAGCCAUGAAAAGAUUUCUCUGAACUGUUGGGUCAGCAACUUCACUGUGGAGCACUAUGAUAAUCAAAAUAAAACACUCAGCACACUGACAGGGCAUUAAAAAAAAUCUUGUGAGCACCUGCCAAAUCAUACACACUGGUCUUUUGGAAUAUGAAAAAUUCCAAAUGCAAAAUUCACAGAAUGGAUUAAAGGGCAGUAAGGAAGAAACUGCCAGAUUUUUUUCUAGCCUGCAGCUAAAACUAGAAAAAAAUGAAGACUGUGAAUGACCCAGCUGAGUUUCAGCAAAAGAGACUGAGCAGGGAGAUGUGUUCAGAUUUACCAGUUUAAUAGGUCUAUUUGCACAUAAAUGACGUUCUUUUUUUUUUCUUCCUACAGACUCAAAGAAUUUCCUUUCAAAAAUGGUAGGAAUGGAUCAUGGCUACAGUGUGGCUGUAGGAGGAACUCCGUGCCUGUUUGCAGCAGCCGGUUUAGAGCCUUUGCUGCAUCAAGCACAGAGGAGACAACAGGAACAGCAAACGAUUGUAGUGCUCUAGAAAAACCACACUUUUAUCUAGAACUCCCUUUGGCUUACCGAGAAUCCACGUAGUGACCUGAAGUCUUCCACCAUGAGGCUGUGCUUACAAGCUCUGACAAAAGAACCUUCUCCUACAGAGCACCUCUAAGAUGACAGAUGCACUUAAGAGUAAAGAGUAUUGGAACAGAGGUGUCUAUGGCAAAGUACCUUCAUUCAGGUUCGUAUGAAACACAGCAUUAUCAACCAAUGAACACUGCAAAACAGUCAGAAGAAUAGGCUCCAGUUCCAUCCAAAGAGAAAACUCCUAAGUAACAGCAGAUAAAGGUAGGCAGACCAUUUACAUCACUAUCAAUGUGGUAUCUGUUUUGCAAUGUUUGGUAGGUAGUUUCCAAGUUGUAAGAAUUUGCAAUACAAAGCCUCAGCCUAGCAAGUUUCUUUUAAUUUUUAAAUGUACAGCAUUUUAGUUCUACAAAUGUAAAAAAAAAAAAAAAAGAAAACAAAACCCAAAAAACUUUACAAUGUUUUUUUUUUUUGCUUAUAACGAUCGAAAACAACUUGAUUCAAUAAAGUUUGGUAUGCAGUUAAUGUGGCCCA